rfam:Schistosoma mattheei strain Denwood, Zambia genome assembly, scaffold: SMTD_scaffold0002091
AUUCACCUGACAAGUUCCAAAUAGGACGAAACGUGCAUCAUGAAU